rnacentral:rRNA from 1 species
GACAUCCCGAUGCUAUUUCUAGAGAUAGAAAGUUACUUCGGUACAUCGGUGACAGGUGGUGCAUGGUUGUCGUCAGCUCGUGUCGUGAGAUGUUGGGUUAAGUCCCGCAACGAGCGCAACCCUACCGUGUGUUACCAUCAUUAAGUUGGGGACUCGCACGGAACUGCCGGUGAUAAACCGGAGGAAGGUGGGGAUGACGUCAAAUCCUCAUGGCCUUUAUGUCCGGGGCUACACACGUGCUACAAUGGUCGGUACAGAAGGAAGCGAAGUCGUGAGAUGGAGCAGAUCCGAGAAAGCCGAUCUCAGUUCGGAUUGGAGUCUGCAACUCGACUCCAUGAGGUCGGAAUCGCUAGUAAUCGCGGAUCAGCAUGCCGCGGUGAAUACGUUCCCGGGCCUU